UACGUAGGGGGCCAGCGUUGUCCGGAAUCAUUGGGCGUAAAGCGCGCGUAGGCGGCCAGAUAAGUCCGGUGUGAAAGUCAAAGGCUCAACCUUUGAAUGCCGCUGGAAACUGCCUGGCUUGAGUCCGGAAGGGGCGAGUGGAAUUCCUGGUGUAGCGGUGAAAUGCGCAGAUAUCAGGAAGAACACCCGUGGCGAAGGCGGCUCUCUGGUACGUGACUGACGCUGAGACGCGAAAGCGUGGGGAGCAAACAGG
rnacentral:rRNA from 1 species